UGCUAAAAGCAGGCUCCAAAUGCCUGAAUAUUUUGUGCAUGGAAUAAUGAAAUAAGACCUCUGUUCUACUUUCAUUGGUUUUUAGAUCAAGAGGUAAUGAUUAAUAGAAGCAGUUUGGGGGCAUUAGUAUUACGACGCGAGAGGUGAAAUUCUUGGACCGUCGUAAGACUAACUUAAGCGAAAGCAUUUGCCAAAGAUGUUUUCAUUAAUCAAGAACGAAAGUUAGAGGUUCGAAGGCGAUCAGAUACCGCCCUAGUUCUAACCAUAAACGA
rnacentral:rRNA from 1 species